rnacentral:rRNA from 1 species
GAUGAACGCUGGCGGCGUGCCUAAUACAUGCAAGUCGGACGAAGAUAGUUUGGUAUUCGUACUGGACAAAUCUUAGUGGCGAACGGGUGAGUAACACGUAGGUGACCUGCCCCGAAGUGGGGGAUAACUACUGGAAACGGUAGCUAAUACCGCAUGUGGUCCGUCAUUCGGUUGGCGGAUCAAAGCUCCGGCGCUUUGGGAUGGGCCUGCGGCCGAUUAGCUAGUUGGUGGGGUAAUGGCCUACCAAGGCGAUGAUCGGUAGCUGGUCUGAGAGGAUGGUCAGCCACACUGGCACUGAGACACGGGCCAGACUCCUACGGGAGGCAGCAGUAAGGGAUAUUGCGCAAUGGGGGAAACCCUGACGCAGCAACGCCGCGUGGGCGAUGAAGGUCUUCGGAUCGUAAAGCCCUUUUCUGGGGGAGUGAGGAAGGACAGUACCCCAGGAAUAAGUCUCGGCUAACUACGUG